CGGGGUGUAGCUCAGUCUGGUAGAGCGCUAGCCUUGGGCGCUAGGUGUCGUAGGUUCGAAUCCUGUCACCCCGA
rnacentral:tRNA from 1 species